GGCAAACAUGGGUAAAUGGUAGAGCCCCAGCUGUCAAUGCAUUUCUGGAGUUGAACGACAGAUGGGGAUCUACCUUUUAAUCACCCGUGCAACAGGGAGACCCCCAAAAAUUCUUGCACCUCUCUACUUUAGGUUCGCCACUGCGUUGAGGUGGAGGAUGUGAUUGCAUGCCUGAGGAGGGGGGACAGGGUCCAGGGGGCCCCAAGCAAAUGCUUUGCCCAGGGUCCAGUCACUAUUAAAGA